rnacentral:rRNA from 1 species
GACGAACGCUGGCGGCGUGCUUAACACAUGCAAGUCGAACGGAAAGGCCCUGCGUUUGUGGGGUGCUCGAGUGGCGAACGGGUGAGUAACACGUGAGUAACCUGCCCUUGACUUUGGGAUAACUUCAGGAAACUGGGGCUAAUACCCGAUAGGAGCUCCUGCUGCAUGGGGUUGGUUGGAAAGUGUCGGCGGUAGGGGAUGGACUCGCGGCUUACGAGCUUGUUGGUGGAGUAGUUGCUUUCCAAGGCUUUGACGGGUAGCCGGCAUGAGAGGGUGACCGGCGACAUUGGGACUGCGAUACGCAGCAGAAGCGUACGGGAGGCAGCAGGGGGGAAUAUUGCACAAUGGGCGGAAGCGUGAUGCAGCAACGCCGCGUGCGGGAUGACGGCCUUCGGGUUGUAAACCGCUUUCGACUGUGACGAAGCGUGAGUGACGGUAAUGGGUAAAGAAGCACCGGCUAACUACGUG